rnacentral:rRNA from 1 species
AAGGGAUAGGAACACGUAGGUACCCACCCUUGGGACGCGGAUAGCCGGGGGAAACUCCAAUUAAUACGCGAUGACGUCUUCGGACCAAAGGUGCGAUUCCGCCUGAGGACGGGCCUGCGUCUUAUCAGCUUGUUGGUGAGGUAACGGCUCACCAAGGCAACGACGAGUAGCGGGUGUGAGAGCACGACCCGCAUCACUGGGACUGAGAUACUGCCCAGACACCUACGGGUGGCUGCAGUCGAGAAUCUUCGGCAAUGGGCGAAAGCCUGACCGAGCGACGCCGCGUGCGGGAUGAAGGCCCUCGGGUUGUAAACCGCUGUCAGUGGGGAGGAAGUCGAGUGGGGAUCACCCCAUUCGUUGACCUAUCCGCAGAGGAAGGACGGGCUAAGUUCGUGCCAGCAGCCGCGGUAAUACGAACCGUCCUAACGUUAUUCGGAAUCACUGGGCUUAAAGGGUGCGUAGGCGGCUCAGAAAGUUGGGUGUGAAAUCCCUCGGCUUAACCGAGGAAUUGCGCUCAAAACUACUGGGCUUGAGGGAGACAGAGGUGAGCGGAACUUAGGGUGGAGCGGUGAAAUGCGUUGA